rnacentral:rRNA from 1 species
UGUGUAGGUGGCAGUGUUAGUCAAGCGUUAAAACCUGGGGCUCAACCCCAGAGGUGCGUUUGAAACGGCACAGCUAGAGGAUGGCAGGGAUGUAUGGAACUCAUGGAGUAGGGGUGAAAUCCGUUGAUAUCAUGGGGAACACCAAAAGCGAAGGCAGUACAUUGGGCCACUCCUGACACUGAAACACGAAAGCGUGGUAGCGAAUG